rnacentral:sRNA from 1 species
UCUGGUUCCGUGCUAAUGAUAGCCGAUGG